rnacentral:rRNA from 1 species
AUUGAACGCUGGCGGCAGGCUUGACACAUGCAAGUCGAGCGGGGGAGGUUGCUUCGGUAACUGACCUAGCGGCGGACGGGUGAGUAAUGCUUAGGAAUCUGCCUAUUAGUGGGGGACAACAUUCCGAAAGGAAUGCUAAUACCGCAUACGCCCUACGGGGGAAAGCAGGGGAUCUUCGGACCUUGCGCUAAUAGAUGAGCCUAAGUCGGAUUAGCUAGUUGGUGGGGUAAAGGCCUACCAAGGCGACGAUCUGUAGCGGGUCUGAGAGGAUGGUCCGCCACACUGGAGCUGCGACACGGCCCAGACUCCGACAGGAGGCAGCAGUGGGGAAUAGUGGAAAAUGGGCGGAAGCAUGAUCCAGCCAUGCCGCGUGUGUGAAGAAGGCCGUUUGGUUGUAAAGCACUUUAAGCGAGGAGGAGACUCUUAAGGUUAAUACCCUUGAUGAGUGGACGUUACUCGCAGAAUAAGCACCGGCUAACUCUGUGCCAGCCGCCGCCGUAAUAC